AUACAAUUCAAAUAAAUUUAAACAUUUAACAUCAAGGUCUAGAAGCUUAAUUUAUCUGAUUUCAGAUACCUUGUGUAAGCCAUGAAGAUCCUGGUAGUUAUAGCAUUGCUCAUUGUGAUAUUUCAAAGUUGUGUCAAGUGUUUCCAAAGUGCUAAUUACUUUUACCGCCAAAGAAAUAUGAUAGGCGGAUUGUCAAACUUUGGCUUUGGAAGUCGGGGUGGAGGACAAAACAGCAUGAUGAGGCAUUAUUACCGGGGAUGAUAACUAAGCAGCAAAAAACAUUUACUUCGUUUAUCGGGAAUAAAAGUGAAAAUGUUCGUCCUA